rnacentral:rRNA from 1 species
GACGAACGCUGGCGGUGUGCUUCACACAUGCAAGUCGAACGAGGUAGCAAUACCUAGUGGCGGACGGGUGAGUAACGCGUGGGAAUCUGCCUUUAGAUGGGGGAUAACGGGUCGAAAGACUCGCUAAUACCGCAUAUGACGAAAGUUGAAAGGAGUAAUCCGUCUAAAGAUGAGCCCGCGUCCGAUUAGCUAGUUGGUAGAGUAAAAGCCUACCAAGGCGACGAUCGGUAGCUGGUCUGAGAGGAUGAUCAGCCACAAUGGGAACUAGAGACACGGCCCAUACUCCUACGGAGGCAGCAGUGGGAAUUUUACGCAAUGGGCGAAAGCCUGACGUAGCGACACCGCGUGAGCGAAGAAGCCCCUGGGGUGUAAAGCUCUGUCAGCUGG